rnacentral:rRNA from 1 species
AGCAGUCGCCGCGGGAAUACAGAGGGUGCGAGCGUUAAUCGGAUUUACUGGGCGUAAAGCGUGCGUAGGCGGCUUUUUAAGUCGGAUGUGAAAUCCCUGAGCUUAACUUAGGAAUUGCAUUCGAUACUGGUUAGCUAGAGUGUGGGAGAGGAUGGUAGAAUUCCAGGUGUAGCGGUGAAAUGCGUAGAGAUCUGGAGGAAUACCGAUGGCGAAGGCAGCCAUCUGGCCUAACACUGACGCUGAGGUACGAAAGCAUGGGGAGCAAACAGGAUUAGAUACCCCCGUAGUCCCUGUCUCUUAUAC